rnacentral:rRNA from 1 species
AGCGAACGCUGGCGGCAGGCCUAACACAUGCAAGUCGAACGAACCCUUCGGGGUUAGUGGCAGACGGGUGAGUAACGCGUGGGAAUCUACCCAGUUCUACGGAACAACAGUUGGAAACGACUGCUAAUACCGUAUACGCCCUACGGGGGAAAGAUUUAUCGGAAUUGGAUGAGCCCGCGUAAGAUUAGCUAGUUGGUGGGGUAAUGGCCUACCAAGGCGACGAUCUUUAGCUGGUCUGAGAGGAUGAUCAGCCACACUGGGACUGAGACACGGCCCAGACUCCUACGGGAGGCAGCAGUGGGGAAUAUUGGACAAUGGGCGCAAGCCUGAUCCAGCCAUGCCGCGUGAGUGAUGAAGGCCUUAGGGUUGUAAAGCUCUUUCACCGAUGAAGAUAAUGACGGUAGUCGGAGAAGAAGCCCCGGCUAACUUCGUGCCAGCCGCCGCUGUAAGAC